rnacentral:rRNA from 1 species
GAUGAACGCUGGCGGCGUGCCUAAUACAUGCAAGUCGAGCGAACGGACGAGAAGCUUGCUUUUCUGAUGUUAGCGGCGGACGGGUGAGUAACACGUGGAUAACCUACCUAUAAGACUGGGAUAACUUCGGGAAACCGGAGCUAAUACCGGAUAAUAUUUUGAACCGCAUGGUUCAAAAGUGAAAGACGGUCUUGCUGUCACUUAUAGAUGGAUCCGCGCUGCAUUAGCUAGUUGGUAAGGUAACGGCUUACCAAGGCAACGAUGCAUAGCCGACCUGAGAGGGUGAUCGGCCACCCUGGACCUGAGACACGGUCCAGACUCCUACGGGAGGCAGCAGUAGGGAAUCUUCCGCAAUGGGCGAAAGCCUGACGGAGCAACGCCGCGUGAGUGAUGAAGGUCUUCGGAUCGUAAAACUCUGUUAUUAGGGAAGAACAUAUGUGUAAGUAACUGUGCACAUCUUGACGGUACCUAAUCAGAAAGCCACGGCUAACUACGUG